CCGCGACCCCAGGUCGGGCGGGACUACCCGCUGAGU
rnacentral:rRNA from 1 species